rnacentral:rRNA from 1 species
AUUGAACGCUGGCGGCAGGCCUAACACAUGCAAGUCGAACGAGUGGCGGACGGGUGAGUAAUGUCUGGGAAACUGCCCGAUGGAGGGGGAUCUCUACUGGAAACGGUAGCUAAUACCGCAUACCAUCGGAUCUGCCCAGAUGGGAUUAGCUUGUAGGUGAGGUAACGUCUCACCUAGGCGACGAUCCCUAGCUGUUCUUAUAGGAUGACCAGACACACUGGAACUGAGACACGGUCCAGACUCCUACGGGAGGCAGCAGUGGGGAAUAUUGCACGAUGGGGUCAAGCCUGAUGCAGCCAUGCCGCGUGUAUGAAGAAGGCCUUCGGGUUGUAAAGUAAUUUCAGCGGGGAGGCGUUACCCGAAGAAGAAGCACCGGCUAACUCCGUGCCAGCAGCCGCGGUAAUAC